UACGUAGGGAGCAAGCGUUGUUCGGAUUUACUGGGCGUAAAGGGCGCGUAGGCGGCCUGUCAAGUCAACUGUGAAAUCUCCGGGCUUAACUCGGAACGGUCAGUUGAUACUGUCAGGCUAGAGUGCAGAAGGGGCAAUCGGAAUUCUUGGUGUAGCGGUGAAAUGCGUAGAUAUCAAGAGGAACACCUGAGGUGAAGACGGGUUGCUGGGCUGACACUGACGCUGAGGCGCGAAAGCCAGGGGAGCAAACGGG
rnacentral:rRNA from 3 species